rnacentral:tRNA from 1 species
GGCCGCGUGGUGGAAUUGGUAGACACAGCAGACUUAAAAUCUGCUUCGGUUACCCGAGUGCCGGUUCGAGUCCGGCCGCGGCCA